rnacentral:rRNA from 1 species
AGAGUUUGAUCCUGGCUCAGAACGAACGCUGGCGGCAGGCCUUAAUACAUGCAAGUCGAACGCCCCUUCGGGGGAGUGGCGCACGGGUGAGUAACGCGUGGGAAUGUGCCCUUGGGUACGGAACAACACCGGGAAACUGGUGCUAAUACCGUAUAAUGACUUCGGUCCAAAGAUUUAUCGCCCAGGGAUCAGCCCGCGUUGGAUUAGCUAAUUGGUGAGUAACGGCUCACCAAGGCGACGAUCUAUAGCUGGUCUAAGAGGAUGAUCAGCCACACUGGAACUGAGACACGGUCCAGACUCCUACGGGAGGCAGCAGUAAGGAAUAUUGGACAAUGGGGGAAACCCUGAUCCAGCCAUGCCGCGUGAAUGAAGAAGGCCUUAGGGUUGUAAAGUUCUUUUAGUGGUGACGAUAAUGACGGUAGCCACAGAAAAAGCUCCGGCUAACUCCGUGCCAGCAGCCGCGGUAAUACGGAGGGAGCGAGCGUUGUUCGGAAUUACUGGGCGUAAAGGGUGCGCAGGCGGCUUUGCAAGUCGGGAGUGAAAUCCCAGGGCUUAACCCUGGAAUUGCUUUCGAAACUGCAAAGCUCGAGUCCCGGAGAGGUUAGCGGAAUUCCUAGUGUAGAGGUGAAAUUCGUAGAUAUUAGGAGGAACACCAGUGGCGUAAGCGGCUAACUAGACGAGUACUGACGCUCAAGCACGAAAGCGUGGGGAUCAAACAGGAUUAGAUACCCUGGUAGUCCACGCCGUAAACGAUGUGUGCUAGCUGCUGGACGGUUUACCGUUCAGUGGCGCAGCUAACGCACUAAGCACACCGCCUGGGGAGUACGGUCGCAAGAUUAAACUCAAAGGAAUUGACGG